GAGCCUGUUCGACGGGUCGGUACGGUGGCUGCAACCCACCGGAUGGGAGUUCGACUCUCCCCGGGCUCUCCA
rnacentral:tRNA from 1 species